AGUGAACGCUGGCGGUAGGCCUAACACAUGCAAGUCGAACGGCAGCACAGUAAGAGCUUGCUCUUACGGGUGGCGAGUGGCGGACGGGUGAGGAAUACAUCGGAAUCUACUUUUUCGUGGGGGAUAACGUAGGGAAACUUACGCUAAUACCGCAUACGACCUACGGGUGAAAGCAGGGGAUCUUCGGACCUUGCGCGAUUGAAUGAGCCGAUGUCGGAUUAGCUAGUUGGCGGUGUAAAGGCCCACCAAGGCGACGAUCCGUAGCUGGUCUGAGAGGAUGUUCAGCCACACUGGAACUGAGACACGGUCCAGACUCCUACGGGAGGCAGCAGUGGGGAAUAUUGGACAAUGGGCGCAAGCCUGAUCCAGCCAUACCGCGUGGGUUAAGAAGGCCUUCGGGUUGUAAAGCCCUUUUGUUGGGAAAGAAAAGCAGCAGGUUAAUACCCCGCUGUUCUGACGGUACCCAAAGAGUAAGCACCGGCUAACUUCGUG
rnacentral:rRNA from 1 species